GACGAACGCUGGCGGCGUGCUUAACACAUGCAAGUCGAACGGAAAGGCCCUGCUUUUGUGGGGUGCUCGAGUGGCGAACGGGUGAGUAACACGUGAGUAACCUGCCCUUGACUUUGGGAUAACUUCAGGAAACUGGGGCUAAUACCGGCUAGGAGCUCCUGCUGCAUGGUGGGGGUUGGAAAGUUUCGGCGGUUGGGGAUGGACUCGCGGCUUAUCAGCUUGUUGGUGGGGUAGUGGCUUACCCAGGCUUUGCCGGGUAGCCGGCCUGUGAGGGUGACCGGCCACAUGGGGACUGAGAUACGGCCCAGACUCCUACGGGAGGCAGCAGUGGGGAAUAUUGCACAAUGGGCGGAGGCCUGAUGCAGCAACGCCGCGUGCGGGAUGACGGCCUUCGGGUUGUAAACCGCUUUCGCCUGUGACGAAGCGUGAGUGACGGUAAUGGGUAAAGAAGCACCGGCUAACUACGUG
rnacentral:rRNA from 1 species